UACGUAGGCAGCAAGCGUUGUUCGGAGUUACUGGGCGUAAAGGGUGCGUAGGCGGCUUUUUAAGUUUGGUGUGAAAUCUCCCGGCUCAACUGGGAGGGUGCGCCGAAUACUGAGAGGCUAGAGUGCGGGGAGAGGAAAGUGGAAUUCCUGGUGUAGCGGUGAAAUGCGUAGAUAUCAGGAGGAACACCGGUGGUGUAAACGGCUUUCUGGGCACGACACUGACGUG
rnacentral:rRNA from 1 species